CAACAGUGAUGAUCUUCAACUUAGUCCGUGUUUAUGAACACCGUGAUAUUAUCAGAAGUUCUGAGUGA